UAGAGGCUGAGCUUGAGAAACCCUCCCAGCUUUAGUUACCUUCCACAGUUGCAAUGACACACUCGAUCUUCCCCUCGUAAAUGCGGCAGGAUGUAAUUGUGAAACCGAUCCAAAAGAGCAUUCAUGUCUACUAAACAAGCUAUAGCCUAAAAACACAGGCGACAAGACAUCCAG